CAACGGUGCUCAUUUCGUGUUGGCGUCAUCCCACCAAGGUAGAGAUAGCAAUGGAGGCUAUCUUGGUCAAAAUUGUGUUCAAAUUUUGGAUAAUAACUGUAACAUGGUGAAUAGUGAGAACGGUCAAAACCAGUGUCUUGAUCUCUCCCUCCAUUUGUAAUCUUAGGGAUUAUUGUUACAUUAGGGGGAAAUGAUCCGAUGUUCCCACACGUGACUCUUCUACGUAUAUGGUUCUUUCAUGCAUGAGACACUGAGAAUCGUCCUGUCGUGGACAGAAUCCGAAGAUUUUAUUGUAUCCCGUUGCAUAUGUUAUAAUGGUUAUAGUGCCCCGAGAAGCUAAUCUACACUAUGUAGAAGAUAAUAUUUUCAAGCUGCCAAAGGAUAAUAAACAGAAGAUCCCAUGUGGAUAAUAGACUUAAUUAUUUUAGCUCCAAAUUAUUAUCCAGUAAAUCGCUAUUAAAUGAAGAAAGGAAAAUCAAGAACAUGAUGUCACAGAAAAAAUGGAAAAGAACACUCACACAUGACAUAAUCUGUUAUUGGCCGAACUCAUUAUUGUUUUCAUAAUAUCACUGAACAUCUAUGCAUAUUGCAAAAAUUAUUUUGGUUAAUUAAUGUUGGUCAGUCUGGAAGCCUAAUCACUGUCCAUUGUGCAACAUGUGGAAAUUAAUGAACCGACUGAAUUCUGUGUCUAGUUCUGAAAAAUAGAGAUUUUGUUCAUUUAAAUUUUUUUCCUUAGAACUAUAUAUGAAAGUUAUUAAAUAAUAGUAGAUACUUUUUCCCCCUAAAAUAGUAGAUAUUAUUAUGCUUUUGAGUUUAUGUUUAUUUAUACUUUUAUUUGUAAAAUGAUUUUUCGAUUUGAACUCUUGCGUUAAAUUUAUAUAUUAGAACGGUUAACGUCGUAGCUAGGGGUGUCAAAAUGGGUCAAAUGGGUGAACCCAACCCAAAACCCAAAUGGGUUUACUGUUAAUGAGUCAAGGGUCAACCCAACCCAUUUAUUAAAUAGGUUGGGUUGACCCAUGACCCAUUAAAUUAAAAAGGUUAGAUGGGUUAAUGGUUGACCCAUGGACCCAAUAUCUUUAUAAUAAAUUAUUUUUAAGUUAAGACCAAGUUGAUCAAAAUGAUAAAAUGUUUUUUGUGGUUUAGGCGGAAAAUAACAUUUUUGCGGGAAAGUGAAUUUUCCCAGUUUUGGCGGGAAAAUGCGUUUUUGCGGUUUUGGCGGGAAAACAUGUUUUUACGGUUUUGGCGGGAAAAUGCGUUUUUGCGGUUUUGGCGGGAAAAUGCAUUUUUGCGAUUUUGGCGGGAAAAUGCGUUUUUGCGGUUUUGGCGGGAAAAUGGGGUUUUGCGGUUUUGGUGGGAAAAUGGGGGUUUUGCGGUUUUGGCGGGAAAAUGCGUUUUUGCAGUUUUGGCGAGAAAAUGAGGUUUUGAGGUUUUGGCGGGAAAAUGGGUUUUGCGGUUUUGGCGGGAAAAUGGAUUUUUGCGGUUUUGGCGGGAAAAUGCAUUUUUGGCGGAAAAAUGCAUUUUUGCGGUUUUGGCGGAAAAAUGCGUUUUUGCGGUUUUGGCGGGAAAAUGCGUUUUUGCGGUUUUGGCGGGAAAAUGCGUUUUUGCGGUUUUGGCGGGAAAAUGCGUUUUUGCGGUUUUGGCGGGAAAAUGGAUUUUUGCGGUUUUGGCGGGAAAAUGCGGUUUUGGCGGGAAAAUGCGUUUUUGCGGUUUUGGCUGGAAAAUGGGGUUUUGAGGUUUUGGCGGAAAAAUGCGUUUUUGCAGUUUUGGCAGGAAAAUACGUUUUUGGCGGGAAAAUUGGUUUUUGCGGGAAUAAAUGAUUGGACUUUAGAGAAAUUCAUGAUUUUCCAAUUUUAUCAAACCUUAGAAUUGAGUUUACUCAUGGUUUUUUUUAAUUGAAAACAAAAUGGGUGAGAGUUGACCCAACCCAAUAAACCCAUUAACUUGUUAACCCAUUAACUUGUUAACCCAUUAACUUGUUAACCCAUUAACCUGUUAAUCCAUUAACCUGUUAAUCCAUUAACCUUUUAACCCAUUAACCCAUUGGAUCAAAAAUAAACAGUUCAUUUGGGUUAAUGGGUCAAAUUGGGUUGGGUCAACCCAUGGGUCAUGACCCAUUUUGACACCCCUAGUCGUAGCUAUGAUUAAUAGAUUUGCUACUAUAUAAUUAACCAUAAAUUAAAAAAAAAUCAAUGAUUUGAUAAUUUAUACUAUUAAAGCAAGAUUUUAUUGUUCUUUUUACUUUAAUAUGCCCUUUUAUUUACUAACAUUGCAUGUUUCAUUAAGUACAAUCAAGUAAUAUUAAUAACGCUUAUAUAUUGGAUCAUUUAUUUUGGAUCCAGUCCACAUCAGAUCUCUCUUUGACUAUUUGGGCCGAUUAAGAAAUCAGAUCCAAAUCUUUUUUUUUCUUUGGGUCAUUGAGUCCAAGUUCAAAUAAUUUUUUUUUCAACUAUUCUUAAUUAUUAUUUUUCUCUUUUCUUAAUAUAAUUUAAGCAUUCAUAAAAAAAAUUAAUUUUUUUCAUUGAAAAGUAUAAAUCUUUAUUAAAAGUAUAUAAUUUUUUUUAUUAAAAUAUUAACCACAUAAUAAAAUUAAUUUAUCAGAGUUAUACCAACUUAAUUCAUUAAAGAAAUAAAGUUUAACUUUUAAAACAUAAAUAGUCAUUUAAAAUGAAAUACGAUAAAUAAAGAUAAAAAGUUUAAGUCUUUUAUAAAAUAAAACACGAAUAUAUGAAAAUAUGACAUUUACUAAAUAUUUGUCAAUUGAAAAAAUAAUAAUAAUAAAUCUGCGCUUUCAAAGCGCGGAUCAAAAUCUAGUUAUUAUUAUUAUUAAAUAUUUUAACGCAUGAAUAUUUUAAAGUUAUCUUACAUGAUAAAAAGUAUAAAUGUUGUGCUAAAAACUUUGUUAUAUAUAUAUAAAAAAUAUUGUUUAAUUUAUUAUUAAAUAUUAAAAAACUCAUGAACAAUAAUUUAUUACAGCCUUUGAACUAAUAAUAUCUAUUUAUAAAUAUUUAUAAAAUUAUUAUGUUUAUAUUUCGCGGACAAAACACUGUAAGUUAUACUAAAAUAUAAAUACAAAUUAACAAAGAAACCAAUUAGGAGAAGACAUAAAAUAUCAUGCUUUUGAGUUUUUCACAUAAAAAGGUCGUUUCUCUUCUUUACUAUUUUUUUCUAUUUAUUUCAUUACUAUAAUUAUGAGAAAUAUUCUAGCGGUUGAUAAUUACCUUUAUUUAAAUCAAUUUUUCUUUACAUCCUUUAACUUUUUCUUUCUUGGUACCAUCAUGUAGCUGUCAUGGCGGUGAGAGACUAUGGAAACCGUGGCAGAGGAGGACGAGGAGGUCAUAGACUCUUCAACUAAAAGAAUUCUUGAUCAUUUGCUUCUGUAUUUUCACCUCUAAUCUAAGUAUAAUUUUUUGGUUUAAAUAUGCUAAUUAUGUUUUAGCUUCUCACAGUAAGCUUUUGCUUAAUUCUCUAUCUUCUUUCAAAAGCUUGUAUGUUUGUCCAUUUUGGUAGAAACCAUUUUUAUUAUAAAAAUCCAUUAUGUAGCUGUAUAAAUAUGUACAGUUAUAGUAGACAGUGGCCGAAUCUUGACGUUUUCUUAUAAAAAUACAGUAGGAAAAAUAUAUGCAAACGACGAUGAUUGGGUCUUCAAGGUAAUACACGCAAGUUUGAUUGGGUUUGAUUUCGUAAUCUGCCACGUUGGGCUAAUCACCGGCGUGUUUUCCGGACAUUCGCCGCUGACGAGAAGAUUUCUAUAUACAUGUGUUAUGUUAAACAAUAACGUGGAGACUUUUAUGAGACGAACGUGUCGGAAUGAACAGCCGUCCGGCACAUGAUAUACCUGGC
rnacentral:lncRNA from 1 species